AGACUUUCAGAUGACCCCUUACAUCAUCCUUUAUGGCUAGAUAAUGUUUUUGUUCUGACCUAAGAAUGUUUGAUGAACAUUCUCAAUUUAAAAUUCUGGUUCUUGCUUUCAAAUCUCUACACAAUGCUGCUCCCACCUAUCUAUCCUCCCUUACACACAAGUAUGUCCCGUCUAGGCCCUUACGAUCUGCUGAAGACUUACG